rnacentral:lncRNA from 1 species
GAGUAUAUUGUUCAAGACAGAGAUGCAGUUCACUUUGUCUAUGAAAUGUAGCAUUUUUGGGUACUUGUUAAGAAAAGAAUGAACAUUUAUUAGGAGGAGACAAUUUGGACAGAAACUUUAAUGUAUGGUUUAGGAAUUUUAGAAAGCAAAUUGCUGUAAGGUGGAUUAUUGAGUCGAGUUAUUGCACAUGCCUUACAGGUUGCCAAAAUUAUCAUGGAAACUCUUCGUUAGAGCGGAGAAUCUAGUGGUUAAACUAAAAGACUUUUAUUGAUGCGUAUCCGAGUGAUGCAAUCCGUUCACAACCAAAUUCACUUUCUAUAUGCAUAUUUGGGAGCUUAACAACCAUCGAUAGAGAGAGAUGAGUGGAGGGUAUUUAUUCACAGCUAUAUUGUGUUAAUGUCAAUCUUCAACUGCUAAAUUGGUUAUCAAUUAUUUUUGAAAAGGUAUGAGGUUCCUCUCCUUCGAGAGAACCACAAAGUGCAAAUGCCAGUGGCAAGAUUUUACAAAGAAAUCAGAAAGUUCUAUUCUUUUUUUUUUCCCUCCGGGACUGGCUGAAAUCAAGCAUGAUAGAUGUGCUUCAGAGACUAUUAAUGUGGUCAUUUGUUCUAAGAGUGAGUGGUGAACAGGACACGCGCGCGUGUGUGUGUAGAUAUGUUAGAUAGAUGCAUAUAUGUAGAGAGAGAGAGAGAGAGAGAGAGAGAGAGAGAGAGAGAGAGACUGUAAAGCAUGUCCCAUGUUAUCAGGAGAGAUUAAUGACUGAAAUCAUUUGAUGUCUGCCGGUUUGGACUUAUCUGGUUUUGUUGAAUGACUUGGUUUGCUUGCACCAAACUGCUGAUUGUCUUUCCUAUUUGGUAUAUCUAUAUACAUGUAUUGAUACCUUUAUAGAUGUCCAUGGUUGCAUAUACAUAUAUUUGUCUGGGUGCUUGUGUCUGUAUAUAGAAAACCAAAUCUCAUUUAGAAAAAAAGUUCAAUUUAAAACUGCCUUUUUUGUAGAAUAGCAAGAUGUUUCGAGUUAGUGAAGUGCUGUAGUAGCACCAAAGCCCUCUAUGCUGUUAUAAUACUGAGCCAAGGGCACUCCACCUUAUCUAUAGAAAGCAUGGGAAAACUCACAAGUUUUUGUAGAUUCUGGCCAGCUAUCAAGUUUCAAGGAAACUAUGUGAAUUAAAAGAAGAAAAGGUCACUGGUUGCUACUAAUAACAUAGCAGAACUUUACAAAAUGUGGCUUAAAG